rnacentral:rRNA from 1 species
UUGUCCCACGGGAGGCAGCAGUAGGGAAUCUUCCACAAUGGGCGAAAGCCUGAUGGAGCAACGCCGCGUGGGUGAAGAAGGUCUUCGGAUCGUAAAACCCUGUUGUUAGAGAAGAAAGUGCGUGAGAGUAACUGUUCACGUUUCGACGGUAUCUAACCAGAAAGCCACGGCUAACUACGUGCCAGCAGCCGCGGUAAUACGUAGGUGGUAAGCGUUAUCCGGAUUUAUUGGGCGUAAAGGGAAUGCAGGCGGUCUUUUCAGU